UAUCUAAACCAGACAGGACACAGAUACUGUCUGUAAGAUGAUGUCACUGCAUUACUGUGUCAUUUUCCAGCUUCUUCUGACCAUACUAAAAGGUGUCAGCUGUGAAGAACUCACUCCAGUCAAGAAUGAAGAGUUCAGUUUAGAAGGCAGCACUGUUACUCUGUCCUACAAAUACUCCAAACAAGCAACUGGUAGUGAUAGUUUCUUCUGGUAUCGACAACAUCCAGGAAAACCACCAGAGUUCCUCAUUUCUCAUCUGGAAUCAGGAGAAAUAUUAGCAAAUGCAGUCUCUGGACUGUCUGUUAAAGUGAGUGAGGAUAAAACCCGAAUGGAUCUGCAGAUCUCCUCUGCUACAGUGACAGACUCUGCUCUGUACUACUGUGCUCUG